GGGUUGUGAGGUUAAGCGACUAAGCGUACACGGUGGAUGCCCUGGCAGUCAGAGGCGAUGAAGGGCGUGCUAAUCUGCGAUAAGCGCCGGUAAGGUGAUAUGAACCGUUAUAACCGGCGAUACCCGAAUGGGGAAACCCAGUGUGAUUCGUCACACUAUCAUUAACUGAAUCCAUAGGUUAAUGAGGCGAACCGGGGGAACUGAAACAUCUAAGUACCCCGAGGAAAAGAAAUCAACCGAGAUUCCCCCAGUAGCGGCGAGCGAACGGGGAGGAGCCCAGAGCCUGAAUCAGCAUGUGUGUUAGUGGAAGCGUCUGGAAAGGCGCGCGAUACAGGGUGACAGCCCCGUACACAAAAGCGCAUGUGCUGUGAGCUCGAUGAGUAGGGCGGGACACGUGAUAUCCUGUCUGAAUAUGGGGGGACCAUCCUCCAAGGCUAAAUACUCCUGACUGACCGAUAGUGAACCAGUACCGUGAGGGAAAGGCGAAAAGAACCCCGGCGAGGGGAGUGAAAAAGAACCUGAAACCGUGUACGUACAAGCAGUGGGAGCACCCUUUUGGGUGUGACUG
rnacentral:rRNA from 1 species